AUGACCGGGGGCUGUGCUCCUGAAUCUAGGAACAUAUUGGCUGCGGCUACUCCAUCGCCGCUUUCUCCGCCUCCACUCGCGGGCCUCCUCCCGGGCUGCCCCUCCUCCGCCCCCGCGGCCCCGCCCCCGUCCUCUCCUCGGCGCGACACCGUUGCCGCCCCCAGACCCUUCCCCGUUGCUGGUUGCUGUCUCUCCCGCACGCAGCCUUGUGAACAAGCCCCAGCGGGCCGAGCAGACGAGGAGCAAAGGAGCGAGCGGAGAGAGAGGAGUAGGCAGCGGCCGUCGACAGCACCUGGCGGAAAGGCGGCGGAGCAGACGCACAUCCCAGCGGUGGUGCGGUAGUAAGUUGCUUGCUGGGAGGUUUCACAUGGAUUGACCAUUACUUGGCAUUAAGUUGUUCUUCAAUGGCGUAUUUCAUGGAUUUACGGGCUUUCAUCCUGCGUACACAUGUCUUGAAGCUUUAUAGACAGGCAUUGCGUAUCACUCACCGAGCCCCGGUACAUGCUCGAGAUGAGUUGAGGCAGACCGCAAGGGCCGAGUUUGAGAAAUAUCGCCAUUGUGAUGACAAACAAAAGAUUAGGUUUUUGAUUAGUGAAGGGAAGCAGAGACUAAAAGGUCUUGAUGAACUGCUUGACAUGACAGGGAACAGCUAAUCUGAGUUGCAUCUUUGUCUUUGCUUCUGCAAUCAGCUCGCUCCAGAAACCAUUCCUGAUAUGUAAACAACUACAUUGUUUGAAAAAAAAAUGUUUUGAUAAGGAACAACACUAUAUGAACAAUUUUUUGUGCCUUUUUUAUAAUAAUAUAAUGUGAAUGUUUUCCAUAAUCCAUGCUGAAAAAUUCUGUGAUUGCUUAAGUAGGCCUAGAAUAUGUGGUUCUCAGAAAAUAUACCCUUUUCAAGGCUUUUGGACUACUGCAGCUACAAUCUAUAAAGACAAAUACUAUAGAAACAGUAGAAGCGGGUACGGAUUAAAGCCAACCGAACAGAUACGAACGGUAUCCGGUGACAUGUCUCGUAUGUAUUUAGGGUAUGUUUGGUUCUACUUUUGAAACUGCUUCUAGUUGAAUCAAAGGGUUCAACUUUUCUGCGGGUACAUUAAAAAGGGUGCUUUUCUGUAGUACAAAUUUGGAAGCUGCUUGGACCCUACUUUUAUUCUACUUUUAUUGCUUAUCGAAGUUCGUUAUAUUAAUAAACAGAUACAAUAAAUUGAAACUAAAAUAAGAUUAAAACAAUUAAGUGUUAUAAUAAAUGAAAUAAAAUAUUUUUAAUAAAAAAUAUUAUAAAUGGAAUUAAACAAUUAUUUAUUUAUAAAAAAUAUUAGGAACACAAAUAUAAAAUCAAUUAUUUAAUUAAAUAUAUUGAUUAAGAGAUAUAUUUGAACAGAGUGUAUAUAAACAAUAUACAAUUUGUUUAUGGUGGACAACUCACAGCAGUUUGAAUCAAAUGACUUUUAACUUUUUUCACAUCAGUUUUUUCGCUAUAAGCAAAUGACUUUUAACUUUUUUUCACAGUAGAUAGCUCACAACAGUUUUUUCACCGCUCAUAGCUAAAUCAAACACAUUCUUAAUCUUGUAAUUUCUUAGAACUCAUGAUAUCCAAUAAGAGUGUGUUUGUUUGGAGAGCAGAAGAGAGUGGAGCCGCUCGGCUCAUAUUUUCUAGUGUUUGGUUACGAGUCGACCAAGAGCACAGCGAUUCUUAGAAUCUCAAGAUGCCAAAAUACGUUCGAUUCCCAGGAUGAGCCCGCUCGGUAAAAUCGAACGGACGUGAGCACUCCCGUUCUCUUGCGCGAUCGGGCUAGCCUCCCUCUGCUUCGUUCUCUCCCGCGUGGUCGGCGGUCCAACCUCCCUCUCCUCCAUCCCGCCGCCGUCGUGAGGAGCUUCGUCGUCGUUCGUGCCGCACCUCUUCUCCUUCCUAACCACCCCACCGGUAGACCUGUUUCUACUUCUGCUGCCGCCUCUUUUUUCCAUGCUGCCACAUAUCUGCCUUGUCCGCUCCUCCCUUCGCUAAAUCUGCCAUGUCCGCUCCUCCCUUCACCAGGUCUGCCUUGUCUGCUCCUUCCUUCACGCUAGAUUAGAGGCAGCAACACACUAUUGGGCUCCGCCAUUCAACGACAUUCAGCAGCACGCCACUGUCGCCUAGGGAAGGAGUAGUAGGAGUCAACGACAACAUGUAUGAGUAGGCUCCAGUGCCAGGCUUCCAUUUAAGGCUGGCUCUGCCACUGGGGAAAGGUGCGGAGGCAGGAGGAGCAGCACACUACUGCUAUUGGUGUGUUCUUCUUGGUCCGUUUGGUUUUCAAGUGUUAAAAUUUGAUCAUAUUGGUACCGGGAUCAGCUCCGGACCUGAUACCAUGUGCUGGUACUGGUGGAAGGCCAUGCAUCAUGCCUCCAAUAAUUUUCUUGUUCAUUCCAGUUGCUAGUGUUCAUAACUAUUUGUGUGUAGUGUGUUCAUAUUUGUGCUCAUAACAUGCUAGUGUUCAUAACCCAGUCUUAUUUGUGUGCAGUGUGUUCAUAACAUGCUUAUUUGUGUGCAGUCUUAUUUGUGAAGCAGGUGUAAUCAUGCAGUGUGUUUGCACAAAGACUUUGAGAACUGAAGCAUAGGAAAGUAGGCCAGCAGAAGGCAAGUUCUACCUAAUUGACGCCAAAUAUGGAGCUAAACCAGGAUUUUUGCCUGCUUUUCGUGGUGUACGAUACCACUUGAAUGAGUGGGGGCAACAAUCUUGUUCAAAAUGAGAAGGAAUUAUUCAAUCAUAGGCACUCAUCUCUAAGAGUUUCAGUAGAGUGGACAUUUUAUUCAUUGAAGCGAAGAUUUAAAAUUCUUGAUGAUGCUACACCAUUCUUUCCCUUCUCUACAAAAGUAGAAAUUGUGGUUGCGUGUUGUAUUAUUCACAACUGGGUUAUACAAGAUGGAGGAGAUGAAUUUACCAUUCCUGAGAGUGAGAAAUUGCCUACCAUUAAUCAUCAAACAUCUUCGCAUGGACAAGCAAUGAAACAUGCCAUUAUGGUUAAUCUCAGGCAGGAACUAGCUAAUGCUAUGUGGGAAGACUAUAAUGCAAACACUAUUUGAUUGUUAUUUAUUUUCCAUUGUUAUGUGACAAGAUGUAUGGACAUGUAUCUUUUAUUCGUAUGGACAUGUAUCUUCCUGAAA